CAAAAUCUUGUGUGUUCCAGUUAAAAGAUCAACAUCAUUUUGGUUUGAAAAUGCUGACACUGCUCUGGAUGACUGCUGCCGUUUUGACUUCAUUAGUGUGGGGCAGAUCCUUGUCUCCCUCACCCUGGUUUUACACCGAAGUAGCUCUGUCAGCCCACUGGAGGCAGCUCCGAUGACACUAAAGUGAUAUCAGUAGAAAAGCAUCUUUUUCCAAUGGUAAUUGCAGCUUACUGCUAGAUCAAGAUCCUGACAUCAUUUUAUUAGUCUUCCUGCCUACCUGACCCAAUGUGGGUGUACUGCAAAACAUCACACUAAAGCAGAGACGAUGAGAGUGGAAGAGUGUCAGCAUGGCACGGCUCACAGGUCCAGUUUUGCUCCAGAGCAGGACAGAAUAUACCAGUUCUUCUCCAGUGCAAGCUCCUUACUUGUGGGUGCAGCUGAAAGUGUUAAUACUGACUUCUGGGCAACAACCUGACAGAAAGGUUAUUGCAUACAAGGAUGCUUGAUUCUUUGUACAGGCUAGAGGAAGACCUUCUGAAAUUCUGCUUGUCUUCCCAACUAAUGUGAUUGGGGAGAAUGGCAGAUGGAUUUAACUGAGUCGAGUGGAUGACAGAUAAAAUUCAAGGGAAGUUACAAAGUAAUGUACCUUUGGAAGGAACACGUGGAACUCUGAAUGAACUCUGUCAUCACAUAAAAAGACCUUAAACUGAAGCCAACCAGCAUUGAUAAGGAAGAUGUCUGACACAGGAGGAGGGAAGAUCAUCUCAGGUAUUUGCUGUAGGCCUCUUAGGUCUCCCACUGAAACACUUGGACAUUGUUGGAAACAGGACUGCAGACUGAGACUUUGACUCUUACAUUGUAUGGUGAUUUUUGUAUCCUGAUAAACAGUAUUUUGGGUGUCAUUGUGAACGCUUUAUGUUCAGUAUAUAUAUAAAAAAAAGAACUUAAAAUCAAACUUAUUGGUCAAAUAGCUAAGACAUGGGAAG